GCCAAACACCAAGCCCCAAAUAACACCUCAAAAACAAAAACACAAAAAACAAACCAUUUGACAAAACCAGUAAAGGAGAUUAAACAUUAACCAUGGGAGCAAUAGACACAGUACCGUGAGGGAAAAAUGAAAGACAAUGAAACACCCAAAAGCAAAAAAAAGCAAAGAUCAACCCUUGUACCUAUUGCAUCACGGUCUAGCAAGAACUAUGCAGACAUGGAGAUCCAGCCUGCCCUCCCGAAACCAAGUGAGCUACCUUAGAGCAGCCAAAAGGGCUAACCCAUCCCUGUAGCAAAAGGGUGGGAAGACUUUAAGAUAGCGGUGAAAAGCCUACCGAACUUGCUGAUAGCUGGUUGCCUGAUAAAUGAACCUAAAUUCAACCUUAAAUUUAACAAAACCAAUUCUUGUAAAAAAUUAAUUUAAGAUUUAUUCAACGGGGGUACAGCCCCGUUGAAACGGGAUUCAACCCGAAGCAAAGAACUAGUUUUUCAUCACACACCAGUUGGCCUUAAAGCAGCCACCAUAAAAAAUAGCGUCACAGCACUGUUUACCAAAAAAUUACAAACAAAAAAACAACCUCUUGCCAACAAACCAGGCUUCUCUAUACAAAUAUAGAGGAACUAAUGCUAGAACUAGUAACAAGAACCAAUCUCUUCCGCACAACUGUAAAUCAGAAAUAGAAAAUCUACUGAAAAUUAACGAGAACAUACAAUAACAUUUAUAUGGUAUAAACACAACCGUUACACCAACACAGGUGUGCCUGAAAGAAAGAUAAAAAGUUAAAGAAGGAACUCGGCAAAAACUUGUCCCAACUGUUUACCAAAAACAUAGCCUUUAGCAUAUUUUAAGUAUUAAAGGUGGCGCCUGCCCAGUGAGCAAUUCAACGGCCGCGGUAUCCUAACCGUGCAAAGGUAGCGUAAUCACUUGUUCCCUAAAUAGGGACCUGUAUGAACGGCUAAAUGAGGACUAAUCUGUCUCCUCUAACUAAUCAGUGAAACUGAUCUGCCAGUACAAAAGCUGGCAUUUUUCCAUAAGACGAGAAGACCCUGUGGAGCUUUAAAUCUUAAGCCACAAACCACUAAUUUUAAAUAGUACACUAUGGCCCAAAAUUUUAAGUUGGGGCGACUUCGGAAAAAAACAAAACUUCCGAGCAUAAAGAAUAUUAAUCUUACCAAGACCCACAAGUCAAAGCAAAAUCAGACCCAGUAAAACUGAUCACCGAACCAAGUUACCCCAGGGAUAACAGCGCAAUCCUCUUCAAGAGUCCAUAUCGACAAGAGGGUUUACGACCUCGAUGUUGGAUCAGGACACCCAAAUGGUGCAGCCGCUAUUAAAGGUUCGUUUGUUCAACGAUUAAUAGUCCUACGUGAUCUGAGUUCAGACCGGAGUAAUCCAGGUCGGUUUCUAUCUAUGCCGUUGUUUUCUUUAGUACGAAAGGACCAAGAAAACAGAACCCCUGUUAACAACACGUUCUAAGAUUAUAGAUUAAACUCAGCUAAAAUCUAAAACAAAACAAACCAACACCCGAAAAUCACGGGUUA
rnacentral:rRNA from 1 species